GAUGAACGCUGGCGGCGUGCCUAAUACAUGCAAGUCGAGCGAACAGACGAGUAGCUUGCUCCUUUGACGUUAGCGGCGGACGGGUGAGUAACACGUGGGUAACCUACCUAUAAGACUGGGAUAACUUCGGGAAACCGGAGCUAAUACCGGAUAAUAUUUUGAACCGCAUGGUUCGAUAGUGAAAGAUGGGUUUGCUAUCACUUAUAGAUGUAUCCGCUCCGCAUUAGCUAGUUGGUAAGGUAACGGCUUACCAAGGCGGCGAUGGGUAGCCGACCUGAGCGGGGGACGGCCACCAGGGAACGUGGACACCGGCCAAGGGACUGAGGGGAGGCACAGGUGGGAACUGUACGCAAAGGGGGGAAACCUUGCAGAAGAACCGCAAGGGGGUUGCAGAGGGUCUCGGGUCGGGAAAACGUGGUUAUGGGGGAAAACAAAAUUGGAAAGUAACGAAGCGCGAGUGACGGUACCUAAAGAAGAAGCCCCGGCUAACUACGGG
rnacentral:rRNA from 1 species